rnacentral:rRNA from 1 species
GACGAACGCUGGCGGCGUGCCUAAUACAUGCAAGUCGAACGCAGUGGGGACGGGUGAGUAACACGUGGGUAACCUCCCAUCAGAGGGGAUAACACUUGGAAACAGGUGCUAAACCGAUACUGAUGGAUGGACCCGCGGUGCAUUAGCUAGGUGGUGAGGUAACGGCUCACCAAGGCACCGAUGCAUAGGCGAGCUUGGGGGGGGAUAGGCAAAAAUGGGACUGAGGACAGGGCCAGACUCCCACGGGUGGCAGCAAUAGGGGAAUUUCCGGCAUGGGCCAAAGUCUUACCGGAGCACGGCGCGGGAGUGGAAGAGGGUUUCGGAUCGUAAAACUCUGUUGUUAGAGAAGCGGUAUCUAACCAGAAAGCCACGGCUAACUACGUGCCAGCAGCCGCGGUAAUUC